UACGGGGGGAGCAAGCGUUGUUCGGAUUUACUGGGCGUAAAGAGCGUGUAGGCGGCUCGAUAAGUCUGCUGUGAAAGUCCAGGGCUCAACCCUGGAAGGCCGGUGGAAACUGUCGGGCUAGAGUCCGGAAGAGGCGAGUGGAAUUCCCGGUGUAGCGGUGAAAUGCGCAGAUAUCGGGAGGAACACCAAUGGCGAAGGCAGCUCGCUGGGACGGUACUGACGCUGAGACGCGAAAGCGUGGGGAGCAAACAGG
rnacentral:rRNA from 1 species